rnacentral:ncRNA from 1 species
GCAGAGUAGGAUCACACGUGCUGGCCGGGUUCCGGCCUUUAGUGUCGGCGGGACGGGGAGUUGUCCGCCGGACGAACAGCGGUACCGCGCAAGCGGCCCGCGGCAGUGGGUGGUCCGCAUCCCGCUGC